rnacentral:rRNA from 1 species
CACGUAGGGUGCGAGCGUUGUCCGGAAUUAUUGGGCGUAAAGAGCUCGUAGGCGGUGUGUCGCGUCGGCCGUGAAAACCUGCAGCUUAACUGUGGGCGUGCGGUCGAUACGGGCAUCACUGGAGUUCGGCAGGGGAGACUGGAAUUCCUGGUGUAGCGGUGAAAUGCGCAGAUAUCAGGAGGAACACCGGUGGCGAAGGCGGGUCUCUGGGCCGAUACUGACGCUGAGGAGCGAAAGCGUGGGAGCGAACAGG